rnacentral:rRNA from 1 species
GAAUUGCGAUAAGUAAUGUGAAUUGCAGAUUUCCAGUGAAUCAUCGAAUCUUUGAACGCACCUUGCGCUCCUUGGUAUUCCGAGGAGCAUGCCUGUUUGAGUGUCAUUGAAUUCCUCAACCCGUGUCUUGAUUGAUUUUCAAGGGCAUGGCUUGGAAUUUGGGGGUUUGCUGGUGGCGAGAAUAUCAUCGACCCGCCGGCUCUCCUGAAAUGCAUUAGCAAUGGGUGGCUGGUCUUUUCGACGUGGAUACGGCCUUUGACGUGAUACUGAUCGUCAUGGCUGGAAGUGUCGUGGACGAUGCAUGGAUAAGCCCAAUGCUUUCAAUGAUGGUUUGGAUCGAUCACUCGUGCUUGAGAGGCCAUGCUUUUAGUUAUUAGUCGGUCGCAAGGCCGGCGAACACAGAACAAGCUUUUCUUUGGACUUGUGUACAUGUUCCUCCUCGAAACUUGACCUCAAAUCAGGUAGGACUACCCGCUGAACUUAA